UGAAGAGCUUGCCUCCAGCAAGUACUCCAACCCAGGCACUCAGAUUCCAGGUCAGAGUCCAGGAGGGGACCUGACUACAAAAGCUGACUAAGGACCCUGAAACCAGGUGGCCCAGAUAAAGGCCCAGUCAUCAAUGUUAAAUUCCUGGUGUAACCCUUUGUGUCAAAAUAUGACUGGUUAAUGCAACAGCUCACCCUACUCUCCCUCACUUUGUGUUCCCAUCCUAUAAAAAUGUUGUACAAUCUCCCUUGGGGACACCAUUCUGAUCCCUAACUGGCCACCUCCUGUGCAUGCAGAAAAUAAAGCUUUCAUUUCAAGUUU